GUCUGGGUGGCUCAGUAGGUUAAGCAUCUGACUUCGGCUCAGGUCAUGAUCUCAUGGUCCGUGGAUUCGAGCCCCACUCUGGGCU
rnacentral:tRNA from 1 species